GGCAUCCUCAAAAUCUUCAUCAUCCUCCUAGUCAUCAUCCUAUCCUCCUGAAGUUCCAGCAACUCCAGACCCACUACCAUGUGCCUGUCCUCGAGGCCAAGCCAUCACACUACGGAACUCAUCCAUAGUCUACCUGUGCACUGGUGGCUGGUCAUAUAGUCUUAUGAUCAUCUCGGCAGUGGCCACCUGCCCUCUGCAAAGGGACUCCAUCCUCUCCUCCAUCACAGAUAUGUGCAUGUCUCUCAUCUGGAAAGGCUCUGGCUGCUGUGUUGGUGCAUCUGCAGGCUCAUCCUCCU
rnacentral:lncRNA from 1 species